rnacentral:lncRNA from 1 species
CUCUUUCUGUAGAUUCUCGAAGACUUCAAAACUCCUUGUGUUUAAGUCAUAGAGUUUGUUUAGGAGUUGCAAGAUUGUAAUUUUGUAUUUUCUUUGGAUUUUUCACGUGAGAAGUUCAUUGUUUUGGUGAUGGCAAUGAAUUUCAUUUUUUUGUUUGGAGAGUUGAGCGUUGUGAGUAUUUUGAUGUUUUUUUGAGUUUUGUCACGAAAUUGCCAAAGGGAGAGAUUGUUACGGAUUUUAUGUUGGCAUAUUUCGUGAAGUUAGUCGGAGUCUUGAAUGUUGGAAGAAGAAGAGAUGAAGAUCGAAGACUCGAAGACUCAAAACAUGAAUGCACAAUGCUCGGUAAGUUUAAAUAUCAUUGAUGAUGAUUUAUAAAUGUUUAAAAGUGUUUGGAAGACUUAGGAUAGUUUUUAAAAUAUGAAUCUGGACAAACUGAGUUUUUCAAUGUGUUGGGACCGGUCCCCAGAGUUGAGAGACCGGUCCCCAAGGGUCCUCACUGCGUGGGAUGUUGAGGCAACCGGUCUCUGGAAAGGGAGACCGGUUCUCGAAUAUGGGAUUUUCUGUCACGCAGCGAGGGACCGGUCUCUGG